GGGAGAAGUGUACAUUUCCAUUAUAUCCUGUGAUCUAAUAGCAAGGUGCUGAAAUUUUAGCUUUAUAGACAUUCAAAUUGCAGUAUAAGCAAGCAAUCAUCACUAAGUACAAAGCUACAAGGGUCCAUUGUGAGCAGAUUUUGAAUGCAAUACAAUAGAAACCCCAUAGUCAGCACCGGCCAUACAAUAGCCGAACAGUUGUGCAUUCAAGCUCAGCCAAGCAGUUGGUUCUCAGUCACCCCUCUCUCUAGUAAGUGAUAUUACACUGCGCUCCCUCCCAUCAGCCGGAGGAUUAAUCUUCUGCAUCUGCGUUCUCUCUCUUCACUACAGGCCUUAACAGAUUGCCAGAUUGUUAUCUCGCUCGUGCUUGUGGCUCUCAGAGAAGAGAUUAGAUUAUAGGUGUCUUGUCUGCACAGAUCUCCUCUAAUUUGGUUAGCCGCUCUCUUUUGAAGUAGCUGCGGUUUAUCGGGGCCUGGCAUUUGUUGCUCUAUCUCGAUGUAGUCAGCGGGAGUUUGAGAGGGUCCCGGACCGAGAACAGCAGGUAGUAAUUACUUCACAGCAAGCCAAGGCCAACAGCAAACACUGGCAGAUAGUGUUACCAGCAUCAGUCAUCGAUGCAGAUUUGAAGUAUCAAGGGCUCUUGAGCUCUGGGACUCAGGGUCUGAUCUGCUCUCCAGGGCUUCGCUUUGGCUUUUGUGUCAAUCGUUAGUCGUUUUUUGAGGGAGAUUUUUGAGUAUGACCAGCUGGUUUUAUCUGGCUGACCCUUUGACACUGUUGAAGUUUUUGUUUACGCCUUGGUGAGCAUUUAUGGUAUGGAAAAUUAGUGAGGUUUGUAAUGGAGCUUGACAUGGCACUGCCAUUAAUCUUUGUUAAAAAUCCAAAUAAAGCAGCUGUUUUGAGUGCUUCACUCAGCAGAGGUGAAAACAGGCAGGGAGGAUAGUUCACAUCAGCUGAAAUAAAAUAGCUGCUUGUUAAAAAUACUUAUUUAAAACUCUUAAUUUUUUAACAACUUCUAUGUAUUAUGUUUGAUACACUUAUAUUUUAACAAUAAAAUAGUAAAUUAAUCAUUUUGUGAAAUUAUUUUUGUAGUUUUGUUCUGUACUGUAAUAAAAAUACUGGUCACCUUAAAUUUUUAAGCUGAAUCGAAUGAA